UGAGUUUGAUCCUGGCUCAGGAUGAACGCUGGCGGCGUGCCUAACACAUGCAAGUCGAGCGAGGAAUUGGAAGCUUGCUUCCAAAACCUAGCGGCGGACGGGUGAGUAACGCGUGGGCAACCUACCCUAUGCAGGGGGAUAACAUUGGGAAACCAGUGCUAAUACCGCAUAAAGCCGAGAAGGGGCAUCCCUUCAUGGUCAAAGAACUUCGGCAUAGGAUGGGCCCGCGUCUGAUUAGUUAGUUGGUAAGGUAAAAGCUUACCAAGACGAUGAUCAGUAGCCGACCUGAGAGGGUGACCGGCCACACUGGAACUGAGACACGGUCCAGACUCCUACGGGAGGCAGCAGUGGGGAAUACUGCACAAUGGGCGAAAGCCUGAUGCAGCAACGCCGCGUGAGCGAUGAAGGCCUUCGGGUCGUAAAGCUCUGUCCUA
rnacentral:rRNA from 1 species